GAUGAACGCUAGCUACAGGCUUAACACAUGCAAGUCGAGGGGAAACGACAUCGUAAGCUUGCUUUUGAUGGGCGUCGACCGGCGCACGGGUGAGUAACGCGUAUCCAACCUGCCCAUCACUUGGGAAUAACCUUGCGAAAGUAAGACUAAUACCCAAUGAUAUCCCACGAAGGCAUCGGAAUGGGAUUAAAGAUUUAUCGGUGAUGGAUGGGGAUGCGUCUGAUUAGCUUGUUGGCGGGGUAACGGCCCACCAAGGCAACGAUCAGUAGGGGUUCUGAGAGGAAGGUCCCCCACAUUGGAACUGAGACACGGUCCAAACUCCUACGGGAGGCAGCAGUGAGGAAGAUUGGUCAAUGGGCGAGAGCCUGAACCAGCCAAGUAGCGUGCAGGAAGACGGCGCUAUGGGUUGUAAACUGCUUUUAUAAGGGAAUAAAGUGGGUCACGUGUGACUUUUUGCAUGUACCUUAUGAAUAAGGACCGGCUAAUUCCGUG
rnacentral:rRNA from 1 species